rnacentral:rRNA from 1 species
GAUAGUGGCGAACGGGUGAGUAACACGUAGGUGACCUGCCCCGAAGAGGGGGAUAACCGCUGGAAACGGCGGCUAAUACCCCAUGUAGUCGUGAGGGUUAGAGGCCUCAUGAUUAAAGCUCCGGCGCUUUGGGAGGGGCCUGCGGCUUAUCAGCUAGUUGGUGGGGUAAUGGCUCACCAAGGCAAUGACGGGUAGCUGGUCUGAGAGGACGAUCAGCCACAUGGGCACUGAGACACGGGCCCGACUCCUACGGGAGGCAGCAGUGAGGGAUAUUGCGCAAUGGGCGAAAGCCUGACGCAGCAACGCCGCGUGGGCGAUGAAGGCCUUCGGGUUGUAAAGCCCUUUUCUGGGGGAAGAGGAAGGACGGUACCCCAGGAAUAAGUCCCGGCUAACUACGUGCCAGCAGCCGCGGUAAAACGUAGGGGACAAGUGUUAUCCGGAUUCACUGGGCGUAAAGCGCGUGCAGGUGGUGCUUUAAGUUGGGCGUGAAAUCUCCCGGCUUAACUGGGAGGAGUCGUUCAAUACUGGAGCACUUGAGGGCAGGAGAGGAAAGUGGAAUUCCCGG